AACUGGGCAUGGCUCCAAAGGAAACAGAGGAGACUCAAUCCACCCCUGAAGUUUGGCUACAAUGCAAGGUGGAUGUUUAAAUCUGAUCAAUCUAUUUUUUACUUACUCUUGCAUUGUGCAAAUGAAAUCAGAACAUGGAAGUGAACCACAAGGUUUAGGAAUUGACUUCAGGCUGCUCUUGUUCUGCACAUUCUGGCUGGAGUAUUAAUUUAUUGCUUCAUAAACCCUGGUGGCUGGAUUCCAUCCUGGCUCAUCAACUUGCUUGUCAAGAAUGGAAUUCCUGGCUUCCUGGCUGACCUGGAGGAUGCCUGCCUGAGGUACCAGAGGAGAACCUAUGAGAGAUUUGGGAGCUUUUUGUUCAUGAAUGAUGUCCCUGGAAGUGCCGCAACUUCUGCUGCUCAGCAUGUCUGUCAUUUUUCCAUCUCAGAAGCCUGCACACUCUCCAGCACCUUGUGCCCAAGGGUGCCAGCCUGAUGCCUGGCUUCCUUUCCCAUUCUCCCCACUCUGCGAUGCACUGCCUUGUUUCACUGUAGAAUGUGGGUCAGAUUCGGAAAACCCUUGAAGAAAGACUCAGAAGUCUUUCUGGAUGGACUUACCAAAAUGCUCCAAAGACAUACAAUUCUAAAUCAAGAACAUAGGAAUCUUUUUUUAUAUAUAAUAUAUUUUCUUAUUGAAAGAUAAUUGCUUUACAGAAUUUUGUCAUUUUCUGUCAAACCUUAACAUGAAAGGUAUAUACAUAUAUAUAUCUCCUCCCUUUUGAACUUCCCUCCCAUCUCCAUCCCCAUCCCACCCCUCUAGGUUGAGAACAUAGGAAUCUUUUGAUUUCCAUCUUCGUUGCAGAUCUUCUCCCUGAUGUAAAGAAGCAAACUGAGGAUAAUAAAGAUGGAUGGGUGGGGUGUCCUCCAUAUUGUUCAAGUUGCCAUUCACUUCUUUGAGGAAUUAAAGAAACCUAUAUUAUCUUACAAACCAGGCCUUUAUUAUAACUGAAAAGGAGGCUCUAGGAAGAAUUCAAAGCCCACUUGUCCUUUUUACCAAUGCCCAAAUGUACCCUUUUCAUCUCAAAAUGUUUGCAGAUAUUCUAAAAGUUAUGAACUUAAGGAACAAAAGUCCUUGGUGCAACUUCCAUCCUUUCUUUGUGUCUUUGACAUAUAAAUAUUCUACAUAGUCUUCCCUAGG